UGAGGAAUAUUGGGUCAAUGGGCGAGAGCCUGAACCAGCCAAGUCGCGUGAGGGAAGACGGUCCUAUGGAUUGUAAACCUCUUUUGCCGGGGAGCAAAGAGCGGCACGUGUGCCGCGCCGAGAGUACCCGGAGAAAAAGCAUCGGCUAACUCCGUGCC
rnacentral:rRNA from 1 species